GAUGAAGAACGUAGCGAAAUGCGAUAAGUAAUGUGAAUUGCAGAAUCCAGUGAAUCAUCGAAUCUUUGAACGCACAUUGCGCCCGCCAGCAUUCUGGCGGGCAUGCCUGUCCGAGCGUCAUUUCAACCCUCAAGCACUGCUUGGUGUUGGGGCGCUACGCGCUGAGCGUAGGCCCCUAAAAUCAGUGGCGGGCCUGCCGUGGCUCCGGGCGUAGUAGUAACACCUCGCCCUGGGACCGCGGUGCGCUCCGGCCGUUAAAACCCCCACUAUACUGAAGGUUGACCUCGGAUCAGGUAGGAAUACCCGCUGAACUUAAGCAUAUCAAUAAGCGGAGGA
rnacentral:misc_RNA from 1 species